rnacentral:rRNA from 1 species
UGAAACACGGACCAAGGAGUUUAAGGUGUACGCAAGUCAUUGAUUGUUCAAAGUCAUAGGCGUAAUGAAAGUGGGACACUUGGUGUCUGUGAUGUGAGCCUUGCUUGUUUCGACGGGCUUGGCGCAACAUCGACCCAUGACUAGGGCUUGCUCUGUUGUGGAGUCUGAGCGUACGCUUUGAGACCCGAAAGAUGGUGAACUAUGCCUGAACAGGACGAAGUCAGAGGAAACUCUGAUGGAAGUCCGAAGCGGUUCUGACGUGCAAAUCGAUCGUCUGAUUUGGGUAUAGGGGCGCAAGACUAAUCGAACCAUCUAGUAGCUGGUUCCUUCCGAAGUUUCCCUCAGGAUAGCUGGAGCACAUAAGCAGAUAUACUCGGUAAAGCGAACGAUUAGAGUCAUUGGGAUGUAUUAUUCUCAAACUAUUCUCAUACUCUAAAUGGUUAUGUUGUCGGUGUUACUUAACUGAACACCCGACUUUGAUUGCUGUGCUCCAAGUGGGCCAUUUUUGGUAAGCA